GUCUGUAUGAGCUGUUGGCUGUUGUGCCAGGCCGGCUGGGGCCACGUGUGGACAGCCAGGAAGACCUGACCUUCCUCUGGGAUAUGUUUGGUGAGAAAAGCCUGCAUUCACCGGUAAAGAUCUUCACAAUAUCCUGGGUAGCCUUAUGUUGUGAGGUGGAAGUCUCUACUCUUCUGUGGUAGUGCUAAGUUGCCAGUGGAAACUGCCCAUGGGCCACAUGAGAGACCACGGAUCCUGUAAUGCUGGGAGGCAUAAAGCUGGCACAGAAGUGCUGCAGAGAGGCUGUCACCAGUUAGAGGGAAGGAGCCAGAGAAGCAAGAGGUGUGGCAACAGCCAAGGGUCUUCAAAGGUAGAUGGACUGUGCACUCCCUUCCUGAAUGGGAGACCAGCACAGAGACCUUGGGGGCACGCCCUGCCCAGCCCUGCCCAGCCUCGCCCAGGCUCCAGCCGGAGGCUCCGCCCCAGGCCAUGGCCUUCCACUUGCUCACGUGACCAUGCCACAGGCAUGCAGAGAGGCAGGCUGAGCUCUGCCAGGCCAGCAGGGUCCGUGCCAGGCCUGGUGGACUUCGAGGACAAGGAGCAGGUGAAGGCCUUUCUGGAGAACGUGGUGGAGUGCAAGUACCAGUGCUACUGUGAGAAGGACCCGAAUGAUUCAUGA
rnacentral:lncRNA from 1 species